AAAAUCCAAUCAAUCAAUCAGUUUAAACAAUCAGUUCAAGUUAAAAACUCUAAAAAUAUAGUUGACUACUGACUUCUGACUAUGACUUCCAUUACUCUGGAUGAAAAUUUGCUGAUGCCUUUUCAUCUAAUUGAAUUUCAAGCGAGCGAGGACAUCGCUGUUGUGCCAAUUGACUGGUAUGAUGACGGGAUGGUGUACUGGCCCAGCUUUAAGAGCACUGAGCGUGUGAAAAGGGCAGCUGCUAACGAGGAGAAGCAUGAGCCAAACUGGCCAAGAUAUGAUGUAAAGGUUGUCAGAACUUGUGACAACUACAAAGACGCCAUUAGGCUUAUGACUCAAUAUCAGAACGGCUGCAACACCUCUGAGCUACAGUCUGAGGCAGAGCAGGAGGGUAAGCUGCCAGAGAAAAGAUUCAGGAAGCCAGUCCAUCGUUUUGGGGACUCUGAUGAGAGUGAAGAAGAGCCAGAAAAUGGUGACUUUGCAUCUCUGAGGAUGCCACGACCUUCCAACUUGCCUGGUGUAUCAGUUGAAGCCUCAUGCCCAAGCCAAUUGCACUGGAAGACUCCAUCAUCUUGCCGAGUGCCAGGCAGCAGAGUAACUACUCCUCAACCUGGAGAAAACUGUCUAGGUAAACACUGUUCUCCUAAAUAAUAUUGAAUACAGUGGCCCCAUCUAUAUUAACACAGCAAUGGUCACUCUGUUUCAAAUCAAUGGACUGCAUCUGCAUUACCAUCUCAGAUUUUCAAUGUCAAUCCAUUCAUGGGGUUGAAGUAGGU
ensembl:lncRNA